rnacentral:rRNA from 1 species
UACGUAGGGGGCAAGCGUUAUCCGGAAUUACUGGGUGUAAAGGGUGAGUAGGCGGCAUGGUAAGCCAGAUGUGAAAGCCUUGGGCUUAACCCGAGGAUUGCAUUUGGAACUAUCAAGCUAUAGUACAGGAGAGGAAAGCGGAAUUCCUAGUGUAGCGGUGAAAUGCGUAGAUAUUAGGAAGAACACCAGUGGCGAAGGCGGCUUUCUGGACUGAAACUGACGCUGAGGCACGAAAGCGUGGGGAGCGAACAGG